rnacentral:misc_RNA from 1 species
GGAAGUAAAAGUCGCAACAAGGUUUCCGUAGGUGAACCUGCGGAAGGAUCAUUAUUGUAUAACCGAGGUACGAGGGCUGUCGCUGACCCGAAAGGUCGUGCACGCCCGAUUGCCCUCACACGCAUCCAUCUCACCCCUAUGUGCACCACCGCGUGGGUCCCUCUUAGGCUUGUUCGGAGGGGGGCUUACGUUUUCACACAAACUUUGUAUGCAGUGUAGAAUGUAUUUUUUGUUUUUGCGAUCACGCAAUCAAUACAACUUUCAACAACGGAUCUCUUGGCUCUC